GACAGAGGUGCCAAGCGUUAGGCGGAAUCACUGGGCUUAAAGCGUGUGUAGGCGGAUGUCUAAGUACCUUGUGAAAUCCCCGGGCUCAACCUGGGAAUUGCGAUGGAGACUGCAAGGCUAGAAUCUGGCAGAGGGGGGUAGAAUUCCACGUGUAGCAGUGAAAUGCGUAGAGAUGUGGAGGAACACCGAUGGCGAAGGCAGCCCCCUGGGUCAAGAUUGACGCUCAUGCACGAAAGCGUGGGGAGCAAACAGG
rnacentral:rRNA from 1 species